ACUUGAAAAUGUGUGUUGCCAGAUACCAAGUAAGAAAAAAAUCAGCAUUUUUAUGUAGGGCUUUCACACAGUAAAAUUGUUUGUGCCCAAAUAAUCAUAGAUGAAUGCAUAUUAGGCUUCAAUGUUGCUUAUACUUUGACUACUGGUUCAUACGAUGCCAUUUUUAUAAAUAUCUAUGCCAAAUUUAAUGAAAUAGACUUGAAAAUGUGUGUCGCCAGGUACCAAGUAAGAACAAAAUCAGCAUUUUUAUGUAGGGUCUUCAUACGGUAAAAUUAUUUGUGCCCAAAUAAUAAUAGAUGAAUGUAUAUUAGGCUUCAAUGUUGCUUAUAUACUAUGACGACAUGUUCAUACGAUGCCAUUUUUGUUAAUAUAUAUGCCAAAUGUAAUGAAAUAGACUUGAAAAUGUGUGUCGCAAGAUACCACGUAAGAAAAAAAAUCCGCAUUUUUAUGUAGGGUCUUCACACUGUAAAACAGUUUUAUACGUGGACAUAGCAUUUUCAUGGAGCCCGUAAAGAAAGGGAGUUAAUUGUGUAAUUUGUGCUGAUCAGAAACUUAUAACAGUCGUCUCCCUUGAAAUAUUUGCACUUUAUGAGACACCACAAACCAUGGCGUCUCAUCAGGAUCCAAACUGUAUUCUAAAUCGUCACACUAAGCCCUCAUAAGUUAUUCAUUGUAUAUGCACUAUAUAAAACAACCAUAUAAUAUAUCUAAUAUAUCCAGACACACGUAUUAUACCCAAAUAUUAGAAAUACACAAUUUUAUAACAGUAAAAAACAAUGGUAUUUCACAAACAAUUGCAGUCGUUAAUAAAUGCAGAAAAGCAUCAUCUACACGUUUCAUACGGUAUUCAGUUUAUAUGCAAACGCAUUUAAAUAUAUUUACCUCGAUACUCGACCAAGCUGUUGAAAAAUUAUAUUAAUUAGAACGAGAACAAGUAAGAUUAAUGUGUUGUUUUCACAUUUCUUUAAAUGGCUGCCAAUACCGCAUGUAAUAAAACAAUCGAAGCGCAUGCGCAUAAUAUAUGUUACACUCCACUAAACUAGUUGCAGCAAAGACAUUCACAGGCGUUCAUGUCACUUAUAUUCAUGAUAUUUCCAUAUGCGAGUGUGAUUGUAAACACAAGUUUCUGAAAACAGUGCGAAAAGGGGCAUUACGCAAAGCCAAUAAAUCUGCGCAGAUUUUUGUCAAUAUUGACAAUAAACUGCAUGUUUUCUUACCGUUAGUAAUCCGACAGUCCGUUGGUCACAUUGUGCAUUAGUCCGUUUAAGUUAUUAUUGCCUUACACUUUUCAAUAUAAAUUUAUGAACUUUAAACAAAAUAAGUAACUAACUAAGUAACUAUUUAACUGACUAACACGCGCGUUUUUUUCCCAAUAUCCGAGACAUUUUACUUUCGCACCUUGCCCUCAAUGUCUGGCUUUUAAAGUUUACCGCCUUUUUGCGAAUACAAUGACGUUUACAUAUGAAUUGCCCAAUGAAAAUUUCGGCGGGAUGACGUCAGGCGCCAAAACUGGCGCGUGGUUUUUCCCGGUAUAGACCCAGUGUGUCAACGCUGUAAAUGCAUUGUGGGAAACGGACUAUUUCCAGCAUGGCGCCCGUAAAGAUUAUGAACACGGAAGUAAAAAUAGUAAUAAAUUAUUAUCAAAAACAGGCCUCAUCAAACCGGGUCAGCCAUGAUAUAUUCUUGGAUGCAGUUUGUGCUUCAAAAGGAGCUACUUUUCAUGCCAGCCUAUCGAUACUAUGUGGGAACUGGGAUUCGGGAUGCUCUCCCACUGGUAUCAUAUGCAGAUCAGUGGUCACAAGAACGUACACAACAUCAUUAAUGUCAGCAAUAUAUAUCUCCAACUUCAAACACACAGCUUGCAAAAUCGCUGAAUAUUGCACAAAAGCAGCUUCGUUACAAACUUCCAGCAACUCGAAAUCCACAAGCAGUCUCGUUCCCCACCCACUUUGACUUCGUAGCGAAGGCAUGUUUUUUUUGGGAAACCGUUAACAUCUCACAACUAAACGUAUACUACGGAGAUUGACAAGUUGAAAAAUAAAUUACUGUAAUCACUUCCAAUUUGCGCACUAAGUUAAACUCCAGUUCCAGUUUGUCUUUAUUGUUGAAAUGUUACUCUACACAUUCGCUUUGAAAAUAGAGGUUGGCGUGUUGUUGGAAGUACAUGUACAUGUCGAAUGUGUUAUUGUAAAAACUAUUGGUAUUGUGUUUUUAGUGCAGACAUUGUAUUUAAGUUUCGAUUUCUAGCAUAAAUUUAUAUAUUUUGUUAAAUAAUUUGCGUUUGAAUGUGAUUGUUUGUUGCUUACUUGCGAACUAUUUUUUAUGUGUAAAUAUGCAUAGACGCUAGUGGAUAUGUAAUCAGGUUACCAUAUUUACAACAAUAAAAUUUAACGGCUGUU